GAUGAAGAACGUAGCGAAAUGCGAUAAGUAAUGUGAAUUGCAGAAUUCAGUGAAUCAUCGAAUCUUUGAACGCACAUUGCGCCCGCUAGUAUUCUGGCGGGCAUGCCAGUCCGAGCGUCAUUUCAACCCUCAAGCCCCCGGGCUUGGUGUUGGGGAUCGGCGAGCCUCCGCGCCCGCCGUCCCCUAAAUCUAGUGGCGGUCUCGCUGUAGCUUCCUCUGCGUAGUAGCACACCUCGCACUGGGAAACAGCGCGGCCACGCCGUUAAACCCCCAACUUCUGAACGUUUGACCUCGGAUCAGGUAGGAAUACCCGCUGAACUUAAGCAUAUCAAUAAGCGGAGGA
rnacentral:misc_RNA from 1 species